UCUUUGCAUACGGGCAAACAGGCAGUGGUAAGACCUUCACCAUCACGGGUGGCGCAGAGCGCUACAGCGACAGAGGCAUUAUCCCAAGGACACUGUCGUACAUUUUUGAGGAGUUGCAAAAGGACAGCAGCAAAAUAUACACAACGCACAUUUCUUACUUGGAAAUCUACAAUGAAUGCGGUUAUGAUCUCUUGGAUCCAAGACAUGAAGCCUCCAGUUUGGAAGACUUGCCGAAAGUGACGAUAUUGGAGGACCCUGAUCAGAACAUUCACCUGAAAAACCUGUCUCGCCAUCAGGCAACCACGGAGGAAGAGGCUCUGAACCUGCUUUUCUUAGGAGACACCAACAGGAUGAUU